GUGGGGAAUCUUGGACAAUGGGCGCAAGCCUGAUCCAGCCAUGCCGCGUGUGUGAAGAAGGCCCUAGGGUCGUAAAGCACUUUCGCCAGAGAUGAUAAUGACAGUAUCUGGUAAAGAAGUCCCGGCUAACUCCGUGCCAGCAGCCGCGGUAAUACGGAGGGGACUAGCGUUGUUCGGAAUUACUGGGCGUAAAGCGUACGUAGGCGGAUUGGAAAGUAUGGGGUGAAAUCCCAGGGCUCAACCCUGGAACUGCCUCAUAAACUCCCAGUCUUGAGUUCGAGAGAGGUGAGUGGAAUUCCGAGUGUAGAGGUGAAAUUCGUAGAUAUUCGGAGGAACACCAGUGGCGAAGGCGGCUCACUGGCUCGAUACUGACGCUGAGGUACGAAAGUGUGGGGAGCAAACAGG
rnacentral:rRNA from 1 species